rnacentral:rRNA from 1 species
CUCCAUGAAGCUGGAUUCGCUAGUAAUCGCGCAUCAGCCACGGCGCGGUGAAUACGUUCCCGGGCCUUGUACACACCGCCCGUCAAGCCAUGGAAGCCGGGAGUGCCUGAAGUACGCGACCGCAAGGAGCGUCCUAAGGUAAAACCGGUGACUGGGGCUAAGUCGUAACAAGGUAAC